rnacentral:rRNA from 1 species
UACGGAGGGGGCUAGCGUUGUUCGGAAUUACUGGGCGUAAAGCGCGCGUAGGCGGCUUAGCAAGUUAGAGGUGAAAGCCCGAAGCUCAACUUCGGAAUUGCCUUUAAAACUGCAAAGCUAGAAUCAUGGAGAGGUGAGUGGAAUUCCGAGUGUAGAGGUGAAAUUCGUAGAUAUUCGGAAGAACACCAGUGGCGAAAGGCGACUCACUGGACAUGUAUUGACGCUGAGGUGCGAAAGCGUGGGGAGCAAACAGG